GCCCCAGUGGCCUAACAGAUAAGGCACUGGCCUUCUAAGCCAGGGAUUAAGGGUUCCAGUCCCAUCUGGGGUG
rnacentral:tRNA from 1 species